rnacentral:rRNA from 1 species
GAUGAACGCUGGCGGCGUGCCUAACACAUGCAAGUCGAGCGAGAUUUAUGUGAGUGGAGACUUCGGUCAAAGCGAUCAUGAUGAAAGCGGCGGACGGGUGAGUAACGCGUGAGCAAUCUGCCCCAUACAAAGGGAUACCCACUGGAAACGGUGAUUAAUACCUUAUAAGACCACAGAGUCGCAUGGCUAGGGGUCAAAGAUUUAUCGGUAUGGGAUGAGCUCGCGUCUGAUUAGCUAGUUGGUGAGGUAAUGGCUCACCAAGGCGACGAUCAGUAGCCGACCUGAGAGGGUGAACGGCCACACUGGAACUGAGACACGGUCCAGACUCCUACGGGAGGCAGCAGUGGGGAAUAUUGCACAAUGGGCGCAAGCCUGAUGCAGCAACGCCGCGUGAAUGAUGAAGGCCUUCGGGUCGUAAAGUUCUGUCCAAAGGGAAGAAUACAGUGACGGUACCUUUGGAGGAAGCCCCGGCUAACUACGUGCCAGCCGCCGCGGUAA